CCCAGGAGUGCGCCAUCAGUGGUCCUUACCUGUCCUCAGUCUGUGCCACUGCGACGCCUCAGAGGCCAGGGCUUGGGACAGGCUGAGGACCCGCUCCCUGUGGCCUUCGGAUGUAGGCAAGUAGUGGCUAGUGUUCCUGGGACUGAAAAAGGUAGAUUGGAAAUCAAAUGAGAGAAAAAAGAAAAGUUCCUCACCUGCUCCAGGACCCCGAGCUUCUGGGCCAUUUUGGAGCUCCUAGGACAGCCUGGAAAAGAAGUGGGCCAUUGGAGCCCUGACCUAGAAACCUCACCUUCUCAUUUUGAAGAAGGGCGCUCAGAGAGGACAUUGUGCGCGCAUGGAUACACACCUAUGACUUAUCUAAUUCCUUCCUCUAAGAGUCUUAAGCAGAGCAGCUGAAAAGAAAAACUAGGCUCUCAUCUAGGUCUGUGACCCCCGCCCUGAAGGAAAUCACCUGUGUUUUCUCCUCACGGCUCUGCCCACCCAGCAGUAGGAGAGCCAGGAAGCUGACAAGCACAAGUUGGGGUGAUCUGGAAACUCAGCUCAGGGCAAGGAGGUAGGGAGUGUCCUCAUUUUCCAGAGGGAAACUGAGGCACUAGGAGUAAGGACCCUCCACUGUCCCCCAUCCACCCCCAGCCCUCCCGCCCUCACCCUUUGCUCCGUGUCAGGCUGGCAUCUGGCUGGGGACAAUGUCCUCCCCAGGGUGAGGAGCCGGGGGGAGGCGGGGCGCAGGAGGGGCCGUCCACUGUCCUGGUUCCUGCGAAUGCGCUCCAGCUGCUCCUGGGCACUCAUUCUGGGCCGGGUGGAGGGGGCCUGGGGAGAUCAGAAGUCCCGAAACACCCCAAAGAGCAGAGGCACCUCUUCAUCUCCUCUUCCUGACCCUCCCCACCUGCAGUCUGGCCCUUCCCAGUCAGUUCACCACAGUGAUUCAGAGUUUUGUUUUUAUUUUUGUUUUGGUACUGGGGAUCCAACUCAGGACCUUGCACUUGCGAGGCAGGCCAGCACAGUGCCACUGAGCUAAAUCCCCGGGCCCCCAGGGUUUUGUUUUUGUCAUGUGGUACUGGGGACUGAACCCAGAGCCUUCGCACUGUGCUACAUCCUCAGGCCUUUUUUAUAUUUUGAGACAGGGUCUCAAUAAAUCACCCAGGCUGGCCUGGAACUUGUGAUCCUUCUGCCUCCACCUCCUAGAGCCUGGGAUUACAGGGAGCACUGUGGUGCAGCUCUUGCCUUGCAGGUGAAAAGCCCAGGUGAUGAAGAAUGAAUAAAGCACUCACUAAAUCCGGGUACUAUUUGCAACCACUGGAGGUCCUGGACUCUCUUAAUCGUCUCAUUGUUAGAGCUGGACUUGAAGAUGCUCAAUGGGUAACCAGAAGCAAGAGGAUAAAUUUAACAGCAACAGUCAGGAAGCAUGUCGCCAGACAAGAACUUGGCCAAUGGGGGCAGGGCUUCCACACGGAGGAGAGAUUUAGAAUGGAGGGCAGUGCAGUUAUAGCCAAAAGAUGUCUGAUGGACAGUGCAACCCAGGAAAACAGCUCUCUGCUUUCACAUUGCAUCUGUCUUCUUGGGGUACCAUGAACUUUCAACUCUGCAUGUACCAAGAUAAGAGUAACUAAGAAGCCUGGUGUCUUGGUGCCCACCUAUAAUCCCAGCACUCUGGAGGCUGAGGGUCUUGCCUUGAACUCACUAUGUAGCUAGCCCAGGCUAGCCUCCAAGUUGCAGUGAUCUUCCUGCCUCAGCCUCCAAGUGCUGGGACUACAGAUUCGAGCCAUCUCCUCUGGCAGGACCUUUUCUCUGAGGACCAGAGCCCCCUGCUUCUCUCCCUCCCUUAUCACAGGAAUCUCCUGAAGGGCACAGAAGGGUCCUCCUUGCCCGGAAAGCCCCCCCCCCCCGCAAUCUGAAAAGCCUUCGCUUCUUGGCUGGCCUUGAACUAUGUAGCACAGGCUGGGUUUGAACUCAAUGAUCCUCCUCCCUCGGCCUCUGGAGUGCUUCAAUCACAGGUGUGUGUACCACCACGCCCAGCACUUAACUCUAUUUUGGGAAUAAAGUGUUGUCUAAGUCUAGAUUCAAAAAUAAAGCCCCUAAGCUUGUUAAAGUGAA